AUGGAUGAGGGCAGUUUGGUAGAGCUUCACCCUUCUGUGUCUCCAGAGACUACAUGUCCCGUCAGCCCCGUAGCAGGUUGUCCAGACGAACCCUCCUACAGUAACCCUGAAGGGAAGACGCACACCUCCACCACAGAACCUACAGGACCUACCUCCACCACAGAACCUCCCACCUCCACCACAGACCCUAGCACUGCCCUCCUAGCCUCCCUAGAGGAGCUAGGGGAACGUAAAGAUCACUCCCACCUUCCUCAGUCCCUCCAUCAGAUAGCUGAGGCCUUUGUCCUCCAGGAAGAUUAUGAGCGAGCAGUGUGCUGUGNCACUUUGAGAUAUCAGCUGAUGUACGAAGGGCUAUAUAAAUAAAUUUGAUUUGAUUUGAUUUGACCAUAAUUUUCACUUGUCUGACUGCUUGCAUCAUGACGAGUUUCUCACACAACUGGCCUGUCUGGGUGAUGUUUUUUCGUGCCUGAAUGAUCUGAAUCUAGGAUUACAGGGACUCUCCGCAACUAUAUUCAAUGUGCGGGACAAAAUUGAGGCUUUGAUUAAGAAGUUGGAGCUCUUUUCUGUCUGCAUUAACAAGGACAACACACAGGUCUUUCAUUGUAUGAGUUUUUGAACUCAAGUCUACGGACAGUGUCAAAUGUGAUAUAGCCUCCAGUCCACUUACCGAUAUCUGAACACGAGAGCCUAAUUGAAAUUGCAACAAGCGGUUCUGUGAAAAUUGAAUUUAAUCAGAAGCCACUGACAGAUUUCUGCAUAGGGCUGCACUCGGCUGCCUUGGCAAAUCGCGCUGUUAAGACACUGAUGCCCUUUGCAACCACGUACCUACUGUAUGUGAGAGUGGAUUCUUGGCCCUCACUAGCAUGAAACCUAAAUACAGUUACAGUCUGUUUGUGGAAAAUGAUUUAAGACUGAGACUCUCUCCAAUACAACCCAACAUUGCAGAGUUAUGUGCAUCCUUUCAAGCCACCCUUCCUCAUUAACCUGUGGUGAGUUAUUCACAAUUUUCGAUGAACAAAUAAGGAUUAAUAUGUAAGAUGGCUAAAUAAAGAACAAAAUUAUUGAUGAUUAUUAUAUUAUUAUUCGUGCCCUGGUCCUAUAAGAGCUCUUUGUCACUUCCUACGAGCCGGAUUGUGACAAAAACUCACACUCAUUCUCAUGUUUAAUAAAUGUAUCGUAUAGUGUGUGUGUGUGGCAGGCUUACAAUGAUGUCAAAAAACAACAUUUG
rnacentral:lncRNA from 1 species